ensembl:lncRNA
GCAGUAGGAGGAUUCUUUGGGAGCAGAUAGGACAGUUGAGAGAGGAGAUGCACAACAUCCAGUACCAGCUCAAUCACCAAAGGGAGGACGUACAACGGAGACUGACUGAGUCAUUUUCCAAAGAUAGGUGCAUGGAGAGAAUGAUUGACUGCUGUAUGGAGAAAGAUGACAGACAGCGCAGAUCGCAGGACGGAGCUGAUAUUUCACAACUACAGAAUUCACUUCAGAAGAUAACCAUAUCUAAGGGGAAAGCUCCCAAAAAACCUGGGCGGGUGUUCAGACCAAUCACAACCAAAUCUCUGCUAACAAACUCAGACUCUGAUGACAGCUCUACUAGAAUUGGAUUGACGUCAUUAAAAAUCAAAAAGGAAAUAAUCCCAACAGCUCGCAGGAAAUAGAGCGCUGGAUUCCACAUCUGUGACUGGAGCUAGAGCUGAAAUACUCUGAGACAAACAACAUGUGCAGUAAAAAUCUG